CAGAAGGAAUUGUGUUAUCCGCGUUGGUUAAUUGUGACCAGAAAUCGCUACUAUGGAUUCAGCCCACAUGCCCUAGAGGCCCAAGAGCUGAAUGAAGCUCUCUCUCGAAAUUUCGUAAUUUCUGGCGCCAAAAAGCAAAACCAGAAGAACCAUGUAGAGGGAGAAAGGGGUGGGAAAGAAGGAAAAUACAAAAUAAAGAAAUGACUUCGGGGCAGACUCCAUUUAGGGUUUUUGGUCAACGCUCCAUUGCUCCAUCGUUCCUCCUUCGAGCUUCAAAUCCUUGCAAGGUUUCUAAAGACGAUGUGCAAAACAACGAGUCGAAGAAGGAUUGUCGUGUUUCGCUGUCGGAUUUCCUUAACCGGAAGCUGAAUAGAAAUUCCGUCCCGCCAAAAUUUCAGACUGUUCAGGAAAAGUCCAGGCCUUUUUCUUCCUUGCUUAGCCCCAGGGAAGUAAUUGGAUCCACUGAUGGGCGGAUGGAAGACAAGCAAAGAAGAGAAGAAGAGAAAAUUGGGAUUCUUGACAAAGUGGCCUUUGAACAGUUCAAGCAAGGUGGUGCAGAUAAAGUAGAUAGUGUAGUUCCAUGUAGUGCUACUGAAACAGAAAACGCUAACGUGGAAUCAAGGAAAAGGAAGAACCUAUUUGAAGCUAUGGAAGGAAAGGAUACAACUCGAAAGCCUAUUCUAGUUCUGGGACAAGGAGAUCAUCCAAAACCAAAGCAAAAAGGAUUGGUGGCGAGUUACAACAGCAGAAAGAAACCUAAGCAUCCCUACAACCACUAUGGAAGUGGUUGGGGGUGGUGGAACUCUGACAUGGAGGGGGUCGACAGUGAAGAAGUUGGUUUCAGUGAAGUAUGGGAAGGGGUUGGUUCUACCACAUUUGGAGGAAAUAUCGAUUGGCACUGAUUGAUUUCUCAUUCAAUGUAUGCCAUUUAGUGGAAACCCUUUUGUUUACUUGGAGGUAGGUGAGCAUGGGUCAAGGUCAGACCCACCCUCCUACUGGAUUGUUCUCAUCCUUUGUUCUACAGAUGGUGUUAAAGUAUUUCGUCGGUAUGCUCUUUUUUCCUCCUCGGAAUGGCUUACUAUGACUCUCAUUUGCAUGUUAUUGUACCUGUACUUGCGCAGUGAAAAUUUAUGCUUUUGUUUCUGAAAACAGAAAAUGUCUUAUACUAUUAAACUAUAGAAUGACAAGGAGGAUUUUCAUUG